rnacentral:rRNA from 1 species
GACGAACGCUGGCGGCGUGCUUAACACAUGCAAGUCGAACGAAGUGGCGAACGGGUGAGUAACGCGUAAUCAACCUGCCCUUCAGAGGGGGUCAACAGUUGGAAACGACUCCUAAUACCGCAUAAUGAUGGAGGGGAUUGCGUCUGAUUAGGUAGUUGGAGGGGUAACGGCCAUCCAAGGCGAUGAUAUGUCGCCGGUCGGAGAUGAUGUACGGCCACAUGGGGACGGAGACACGGCCCAGACUCCUACGGGAGGCAGCAGUGGGGAAUCGGCCGCCAUGGACGAGAGUCUGACGGAGCAACGCGGCGUGAGUGAUGAGGGCCUUCGGGUGGUAAAGCUCUGUUAAUCGGGACGCGGUACCGGAAUAGGAAGCCACGGCUAACUACGUGCCAGCAGCGGCGGUAAUUC